rnacentral:lncRNA from 1 species
CAGCCUCACAUACUCUAACUAAUUCUGACUUGGCCAAAUCACUUGGCUCAACCUGAAUGAGCAGCCCGUCACGCUCCAGCCACGGUCGCAUCUUGCCGCAUCACACGGCGUUGCCUUAUCGCAUAGCAAUAUCGACAUCUCCUCGUGCUCGCCGCGUCGCACGGCAGCCUGACAUCUCAUCUUCUCCGCGUGCCUCCGCUGAAGCUUCACCGGACUAGCUACUCUCUAACCUAUCCUACAUGCACAACGAAAGCAAACUAAAUAUGCAGAUACAUGGAAUCAAGAUUAAGUCUAACAUUCACCCCCUAAUCUUGAUUCUCCUAUCAUCAACGCAGAUCACCCACAACCACUUGCCAAGACUUUGCAGCGCCAAGACCACACCACCUUGCCUCACGCUGCAGCUUCACCAUGCUGCACCAUCGAUCUCCACUUGCAUGUUCUUCAGCGGCAUCACACCACUGGUCACGUACAUCUCGCCGCCGUCGUCGCAGCAGCUCACCUUGGGGAUGGCGUCACACCACCCAAAACACCACGGUCAGCUAGCUUCACAUCUAUCCUCAUGAUGGCCUCGCACGCCGUACAUCGAUCUUCUCAGCGGCAUCUCAUCAUCGUCUUGUCGGCAUCGCACCGUCGUCGUGGCAGCAUCGCACUGCCAUCUCCUCCUAGCGGCAUCACACCGCAACCACCUGUUCGCGCGGCAUCACACCGGCGAAGACCUCCUUGUCGUGGACGACGCCGUCGCAGCGCCGGACACCACCGUGCACCAUCUUGUCGUGGUCGACGCCGUCGCAGCGCCGGACGCCACCAUGCACCAUCUUGUCGUGGUCGACGCCGUCACAGCGCCCAUCACCACAUCGUCCUGCCGCACGCAGCAGCCACCUCUUGACGUGGACGGCGCCUUCGCAACGCCGAUCACCACGCCAUCAUCACCUCGCGGCAUCGCACCGAAACCGGCCAUCAGCGGUACCGCACCGCUGCCAGCCAUCACCUCGCACCGACGUCCUCCAUCUCACAUGGAGUCCACCGCGUCACCACCGUCGCACCCGUUGCCUCCGCCCAGCACCACGGCGGCCACCAUAGCCGCCGGCACCGUCGUCGCCGCCACGGAUCAACAAGGCUCUGAUGCCAAUUGUUGGCGCCAUCUCUCCUCUCGCAGCGCCCCUUCUUCUUCUACCUCUUGCUGCCUCUCACAGCUCAACUCUCUUUGUCUCACACAAGAACACACACACAUGGUGAAACUCAGAAAACACAAGCGCGCACCUCACCGUGGAGAACACAGCUUUGCUUUUCACUCCCGGUGAGACACACAUGCACUACAUUAUUUCUGCCAGCCCUCACGGCCUCACUUCAUUACUCAGUAUGCAACAUGUAUAUAUACAUCAGGUGCUGGACUCACGCCACUACCAGGCACCAUUUCCGGCCACUAACAGCACCCUCCACGCACUAACCCAUUCGCCAACUGACUAGCUACAUGCACGCCCAUGUCAAUCACUAACAAACUCACGCAUGCAGUGACUCUUGACUCGGCUAGCACCACGCACACAUGCAGCUACAGCCUCACAUACUCUAACUAAUUCUGACUUGGCCAAAUCACUUGGCUCAACCUGAAUGAGCAGCCCGUCACGCUCCAGCCACGGUCGCAUCUUGCCGCAUCACACGGUGUUGCCUUAUCGCAUAGCAAUAUCGACAUCUCCUCGUGCUCGCCGCGUCGCACGGCAGCCUGACAUCUCAUCUUCUCCGCGUGCCUCCGCUGAAGCUUCACCGGACUAGCUACUCUCUAACCUAUCCUACAUGCACAACGAAAGCAAACUAAAUAUGCAGAUACAUGGAAUCAAGAUUAAGUCUAAC